GAGAAGAAAAACUUCUUACUCAGAAAUGGGUGAUCUGAAUUUGAGUUGAAAAUCUGCUACUCCUUAACUCUGUAUCCAAGUUUCUACUGGAGCUCCAAGAGCAUCGGUAUCAUCUGUGAAGGAAUCUGAUGCCAAGAGGACUGAACUCCACUUUCUGCGGCUGCUGCCAUGGCCGCCACCACCAGGGCCGAGGAACUGAGUCUUUGAACAACCAGUGGCCACCCGGCCUCGGCCAUUUAAGAGAGAGAGAUCACAAGCAGGCAGAGAGACAAGCAGAGAGAGAGGGGGAAGCAGGCUCCCCGCGGAGCAGAGAGCUGGACACAGGGCUGGAUCCCAGGACCCCGAGAGCAUGACCUGAGCCGAAGGCAGAGGCCCAGCCCACUGAGUCACCCAGGCGCCCUGAGAAGAAAUGUUUUUAAAAAGCACAAAGGCAGAAUAGCCUAGACUCAGUGGACCUCUCUUGUCAGCUUCAACAUUUGCCAGCCAUAGUCAUUCAACUCCAAGAUCUCAGCUCUAUGCCACAGUAGCUAUAAAAAGUGAGGGAUGAGCCUAUUGGUCUGCUGAGCGGAACAGCCAACAGAACAUCAAAGAGCCGUGCUCAAGGGAUGUUUGCGGCUAAGGAGGCUCCGCGGGGCACUGCUUGAAGGACAUGAAGUCCAUCCAUCUCUCCAGAUGGAAAACCCAGACCGGAAACACAAGAUGGCACAAAUCUUUCCAGUCUGUAAGUGAAGGUAAAAGGGCUCCCAGGUCAGGGUCACGUGACUUCUCCAGACCCGAAGCUCAUGGAACAGGGAAGCUUUCAUGGGAGGGAGGUUAUGCACGCAAAAUCCCCCUGGAGGGUGGCCAGCCCACCGCUAGUGUCGCUGAGCCUUGCCACAAUUUGUUACGGGUUUUCACCAUUGAUACUGAAAGGACUUUAGUGGUAUUUCCUCACUUUCCACAUUUUCUCAAUACGUAGAUUGUCUAAACGUACAAGUGCUAAUGCUUCUGUCAGUCGGUGUUAUCUAGUUGCUCCAAGCAGCUUUCCUAGUUCAUUAUCAGCAGUGUAUCUGAUGUCAUACACCACGAAGCUUCUGAAGCCUGGUAACGUAUCCAUCCGUAAAUCGAGAACCUGGAGCGGGGGAGGGGGGUGUUAUUCAGAAGAGAGAAGGAAUUGUGACCGUUCAGCAGAAUGUUGAUUACAAGUUUAAUUCAAGUUACAUGCAUUGGUGAUUCAGUCCUACAAAACAAGGUGUUUAGGUUAUUAGAUGCCUAAGUGACCUUCUCUUUCCCUGUUUAUGUUAAUAGAUAGUGUCUCUGACGCAGAGUGUUAUUAGAUAGUUUUGCUCAGUUUUCAGAAAAGACCGUGAAUACACAAAUCAGCAGAGGCCAGAUCCUAUGCCCUUCAUAAUGACUAGCGACCAACAAAUCCAUCAUGAAUCUAUUAAAACCGUAUGCCCUGGGAGCAUUACUAGCAAAUUUCACAGUCUGAAUUCUUACCAAGGUGGGAAAUUUUAUGGAUUUCGCUGUUAACAUAAUAUGCAACCUGAUAGUCACGUGAAAAUGUAAUCACGAGCUAUAGUUUUCUUGUUAUUAACUCAAAUUAGGAUAUUGUAUCUAUUUUACUAGAUUUCAAAAAAUCUAAAACUGUUGCAUCUGUAGUUUUAGAUAUAUUUAUAUGUUAUAGUUGGCCUUAAACACUAGUUAAAUUUUAUAGUUAAUGUCUUACUACAGCUGUAGGGGGCUGUUCAUGCAUACUAAGCCUGGUUUGUGGUACUACGAGUAUCUUUGUAAAAAUGACUUACAAAGAAUGAUUCUAUUAUAAAAAUAUAGCUAUUAUUGCUAUACUCCGAAGUCUCUACAGAAAAUGAAAAUAAAGGUACUUGAUAAAGCUUUAUUAUCGCUGGCUAUUUGCUGAUUAAGCCUAGAACUGACUUGUCUCAUUGUCAUCCAUCAUUAUUUACUUGGUAUCUAGACACCUUAAAAAAAGAAAGAAAGAAAGAAAGAAAGAUGGUCCAAGUAUAGGAGCCUGGUGGAAAUUUUUAUUUGACUACAUUUCAGAUGAUAUAAUCCGUAGUCUUGAUCACGAGACCCAUGUUUUAAUAACCUGACCUGAAAGAAUAUUUAGGUGAGGGCAAGAGGUUCCUGAAAUGUGUAUCACCUUACGGGUCCAAGGGGUGUUUUUCACCUCACUGUGCAUUCUGAGUCAUAGUGGGGGGUGUGCCACAGUGACAAAAAGAAAGAGAAUAGGAACCGUUCACUUCAGAGAGCGUUGCCAUUAGCAGGGUGAGUGCCCUUGGAGACUUUGUUGCCCCGACUGGGUCUGCUGGCCCUAGAUCCCUUCUUCACUCUUCUGCUGGACUCUCUGGGGCCAGUGGGACUGACUCUGUGGGGCUGCAUUUCCCGGGCGCCUGGAUCUGCUGCAGUCAGCCCCUGGGAGGCACCAGCAGGAGACAGGACAGCUGGAGGAUUGGAAGGAAGGGCAAGACAGGGUCUCUUCUCUUUCUGCCUCUGGUUGCUUCUCCAGCAACAGCUGUACCCCCGCAGUGGUUCUGAGAACCGUCAUGGGUUCCCCUCGCUCUAGGAGACCGUGGUCUCUGGGUUCUGAGUUCUGCCUUGUCCUUUAGCUCCCUCAGCUUCGAGGUGAGUGUGACUUCUUACUCUUGGUACUCUCAGUUCCAUAUCUGACUUCUCAGCUCUUCCCUCGCCUGUGUAAUCAAUUUCCUGAAUUAAAUUCCUCCAUUUCCCUAGCUGGACCCUGACUGGCACAAUUCACUAUAUACCUAAGUAUUUGUGUAUCGGGUCAUGAUGGAGAAUACAUUCUGUGCGGAGAGGAGUUGUUAGAGCAAUUUGAAAGCCACUGUCUAUGAAAAUGAAUCUGACAGCAAAGGGCGGACAGCGGUGGGCCCGAUUCUUCACUUGGGCGUUGAUGGCUGGUACUGAGCUGAAGACCGUGAACUUGGAGAUUCUUUUUCUCUCUUUUUUUUUUUUUUUUUAAGAUUUUAUUUAUUUAUUUGACAGAGAGAUCACAGUAGGAGAGAGGAAGGGAAGAGAUCACAGAGAGAGAGGAAGGGAAGCAGGCCCCCUGCUGAGCAGAGAGCCCAAUGUGGGACUCGAUCCCAGGACCCUGAGAUCAUGACCUGAGCCG